UACAGAGGGUGCAAGCGUUAAUCGGAAUUACUGGGCGUAAAGCGCGCGUAGGUGGUUCGUUAAGUUGGAUGUGAAAUCCCCGGGCUCAACCUGGGAACUGCAUUCAAAACUGUCGAGCUAGAGUAUGGUAGAGGGUGGUGGAAUUUCCUGUGUAGCGGUGAAAUGCGUAGAUAUCUGGAGGAACACCGGUGGCGAAGGCGGCAUCCUGGACCGGUAUUGACGCUGAGGCGCGAAAGCCAGGGGAGCAAACGGG
rnacentral:rRNA from 1 species